AUGCUCGGCGCCGGCCUCAGUGCCAAGAUCAGGAGGGCGAUGGCGGCCCUGCUCCGAGGUCGCAGCCGCCGGCUGCUUCGAAUCGCUUCACCAGGCAGCAGGGCGCCAUGGUCGGAGCUCCCGGCGGACCUGCUGGCCCUCGUGCUCUCCCGCCUGCCCUCCCAAACCGACCGCGUCCGCCUCCGCGCCGUCUGCCGGUCGUGGCGCUCCGCCGCGCGCCUGCGGCCGCUGUCGCCGCCGCUCCCCUGGCUCUUCGUCCGCGGCGACACCUUCCUCACCCUCUCCGAGGGCGCACCCCACCGCAUGCCCCUCGACCUCAACGAAAUACACCUACGUGUCCCCGCCGGCAGCAUGUUCUUCCUCGUGCGCCGCGACGGCAGAUGCUCCCUGAUGAACCCUUCUUCCGGGGAGAUGACCCCUCUACAACCACAAGUCAACAGCAACAGACUCAAGAUCGACCUCAGUUGCCGCAGCUACAAUUGGAUCAGUAAGGUGGUGGUGUCUGAUCGCAUCGUCGCCGUCACUGUUCCGUACAGUGGCAUGGUCACAAUCUUUCCUCGCACGGCCACGACGUCGUCAGGUGCCGGAUUGUGCUGGGUGCCCCCUGCUGCAAGCACCGAUGUCGUCGACACUGACAUUGCACUCUUCCAAGGUGAGCUUUACGUAGUCCUCACCAAAAAGCACCACAUAAGUGGUUCUGAAUCUGAACUACCCGAGCUCCAUCGCUUGGAAAUCGACGAGCAGCAGAACCGCGUCAGGUCAGUCCAAUGCAUACGCGGCAGGCCAAGAAACGGCGUGGACGACCCUGGCCUGCGUGAGCAUGAAAGCUGGCGCUCCGUCUCCAACCUCGUCGAGUGCGGCAAUCGGCUGCUAAUGGUGGAAAGGUAUACUGUUGUUGAGAAGUUCGUGGUCUGGGACGACGUCUCCCGAGAGAGCGGUUCGAUUGCCAUACGGACCCAGAUCAAGGUCUGGGAGGGGGUGGACCUGACCGGCAGCCAUGGGCAUUGGAGCAAGGCGGAUACGCUGAUGGGGCAUGCGCUCUUCGUCAGCCGAGGCUGCUCCGAGUCGCUCCCAGCAGCCCAAUGUGGAGCUCGACAAGAUUGCAUCUACUUUGUGACGACUGAGCAUCCCAGGCUUCGUUCUAGACGGAAAUGGAGCUUCAUGAUGACGUCCUGCGCUGUGUUGUGUACAACGUUAGAGACAGGAGAAUGGAGCCAUUGGAGACGAUGGCAGCGACGGCCAGUCCAUGGGAACAACCGACUUGGUUUUUCCCUGCCGAUGCUUGAGUGA
rnacentral:rRNA from 1 species